rnacentral:rRNA from 1 species
AGAGUUUGAUCAUGGCUCAGAUUGAACGCUGGCGGCAGGCCUAACACAUGCAAGUCGAACGGUAACAGGAAGAAGCUUGCUUCUUUGCUGACGAGUGGCGGACGGGUGAGUAAUGUCUGGGAAACUGCCUGAUGGAGGGGGAUAACUACUGGAAACGGUAGCUAAUACCGCAUAACGUCGCAAGACCAAAGAGGGGGACCUUCGGGCCUCUUGCCAUCGGAUGUGCCCAGAUGGGAUUAGCUUGUUGGUGGGGUAACGGCUCACCAAGGCGACGAUCCCUAGCUGGUCUGAGAGGAUGACCAGCCACACUGGAACUGAGACACGGUCCAGACUCCUACGGGAGGCAGCAGUGGGGAAUAUUGCACAAUGGGCGCAAGCCUGAUGCAGCCAUGCCGCGUGUAUGAAGAAGGCCUUCGGGUUGUAAAGUACUUUCAGCGGGGAGGAAGGGAGUAAAGUUAAUACCUUUGCUCAUUGACGUUACCCGCAGAAGAAGCACCGGCUAACUCCGUGCCAGCAGCCGCGGUAAUACGGAGGGUGCAAGCGUUAAUCGGAAUUACUGGGCGUAAAGCGCACGCAGGCGGUUUGUUAAGUCAGAUGUGAAAUCCCCGGGCUCAACCUGGGAACUGCAUCUGAUACUGGCAAGCUUGAGUCUCGUAGAGGGGGUAGAAUUCCAGGUGUAGCGGUGAAAUGCGUAGAGAUCUGGAGGAAUACCGGUGGCGAAGGCGGCCCCCUGGACGAAGACUGACGCUCAGGUGCGAAAGCGUGGGGAGCAAACAGGAUUAGAUACCCUGGUAGUCCACGCCGUAAACGAUGUCGACUUGGAGGUUGUGCCCUUGAGGCGUGGCUUCCGGAGCUAACGCGUUAAGUCGACCGCCUGGGGAGUACGGCCGCAAGGUUAAAACUCAAAUGAAUUGACGGGGGCCCGCACAAGCGGUGGAGCAUGUGGUUUAAUUCGAUGCAACGCGAAGAACCUUACCUGGUCUUGACAUCCACAGAACUUUCCAGAGAUGGAUUGGUGCCUUCGGGAACUGUGAGACAGGUGCUGCAUGGCUGUCGUCAGCUCGUGUUGUGAAAUGUUGGGUUAAGUCCCGCAACGAGCGCAACCCUUAUCCUUUGUUGCCAGCGGUCCGGCCGGGAACUCAAAGGAGACUGCCAGUGAUAAACUGGAGGAAGGUGGGGAUGACGUCAAGUCAUCAUGGCCCUUACGACCAGGGCUACACACGUGCUACAAUGGCGCAUACAAAGAGAAGCGACCUCGCGAGAGCAAGCGGACCUCAUAAAGUGCGUCGUAGUCCGGAUUGGAGUCUGCAACUCGACUCCAUGAAGUCGGAAUCGCUAGUAAUCGUGGAUCAGAAUGCCACGGUGAAUACGUUCCCGGGCCUUGUACACACCGCCCGUCACACCAUGGGAGUGGGUUGCAAAAGAAGUAGGUAGCUUAACCUUCGGGAGGGCGCUUACCACUUUGUGAUUCAUGACUGGGGUGAAGUCGUAACAAGGUAACCGUAGGGGAACCUGCGGUUGGAUCACCU